rnacentral:lncRNA from 1 species
AUCCCAAUCCCAAAUCCUAUUCAAAUCAACUCUUAUUUGAAUCCAGUUUAGUAGCACCAGUAACCCAUCCCAUUUAGAACUUAGUUUCUCUGCUCCCAUGCCAUGGCUUCAAUUAGUACCAACUUGAUCCAAGUGAUUCUGUCUUGUUCUGAUUUCUGCAUGCUGGAUGGACUUGAGACUGUCUACCUGUCCUGUCUUACCACCUCUACCGCCUCCCCCCUUUAACCUCCCUCUCCAUCUCUCCCCUCAGGUCUAAGAAGUCCAAGCUGUCCAUAGACAAGUCCACAGAGACAGAUAAUGGCUAUGUGUCUCUGGAUGGGAGGAUAACCUGUAAGAGUAGUGAGGAGAGGCUCCAGCUCCAUGAUGGAGGAUCUCACCACUGUGACCUGCUGCUGAGGUCAGACGAGACGUGUUGGACCGCACCCCCGCCUCCCAACACUCUGCUGCUGCCCCCCGUCACCAAGGUAAACAACAAGGUAACACACACAUUUAUACACACACACACCACCACGCAACACACUGCUACUUCCCCACAGUCAGCAAGGUAAACAACAAGGUAACACACACACACACCAUCACACAACACACUGCUACUUCCCCACAGUCAUCAAGGUAAACAACAAGGUAACACACACAUUUAUAACACACACACACACACCAUCACACAACACACUGCUACUUCCCCACAGUCAGCAAGGUAAACAACAAGGUAACACACACAUUUAUACACACACACACCAUCACACAACACACUGCUACUUCCCCACAGUCAGCAAGGUAAACAACAAGGUAACACACACAUUUAUACACACACACACACCAUCACACAACACACUGCUACUUCCCCACAGUCAUCAAGGUAAACAACAAGGUAACACACACACACACCAUCACACAACACAGGUAUACACAAGGUAUCACAUACACAUGGUUAGCAGAUGUUAUUGCGAGUGUAGUGAAAUGCUUAUGCUUCUAGAUCUGGCAGUGCAGCAGUAUCUAACAGGUAAUAUCUAACAAGUCCACAACUAAACAUAAUACACACAGUCUAGUAAAGGAAUAAGAAUAUAUAAGUAUAAAAUAUAUGGAUGAGCAGUGACAGAGCGGCUAAGAUGCAAUAGAGAGUAUAGAAUAGAUAGUGUAGGAUACAGUAUACAUUAUAUACAUAUGAGAUGAGUAAUGCGAGAUAUGUAAACAUUCUUAAAGUGGCAUUAUUAAUGUGACAAGUGUUCCGUUUAUUAAAGUGGCCAAUGAUAUCAAGUCUGUAGGUAGGCAGCCACCUCUCUGUGUUAGUGAUGGCUGUUUAACGAUCUGAUGGCCUUGAGAUAGAAGCUGUUUUUCCAUCUCUCGGUCCCAGCUUUGAUGCACCUGUACUGACCUCACUUUCUGGAUGUUAGCGGGGUGAACAGGCAGUGGCUCGGGUGGUUGCUGUUUGCUGAAGUCCACGAUCAUCUCUUUUGUUUUGCUGACAUUGAGUGUGAGGUUAUUUUCCUGACAUCACACUCCGACGGCCCUCACCUCCUC